rnacentral:misc_RNA from 1 species
GUUUUGGUUUUGGGGGGGUGGGGGGUGGGUUAGUUUGUUGGGCACUACGGGCAGGUGAGUGGUGAUAAUCUGGGCAAAUCAUUCAAGAGAAAGGCAUUACAUGAAUUAAAUAUCGUGUUUAAGAAAAGGAAGCUGUGUUUUCAUUCUAGGACUUUUCCAAGAAAAAAGUUGGCUACUGCAUGUCUGUGUCACUCGUGUAAUUGCUUGACCAUGCGAUAUUUUCUCUUGUAGAUCACUGCCACAUAGGGUUACUCAAUUUUCAGUGGUUUUCACAAUGAAUAGUGCAACAUUUAAAAUAACAAAAAAUUCUGUCCUCAUCAUGACUCUAAAUCAGAAAGAAAAUUGUUUAAUACUCAGACUCCACUUGAUAUGAGUUUAAUUGAAGGCCUGAAAUUAUGUAGGAGCAACAUUUAGACCUAAAUUUGAGAAUGCAACAGUGUGAUUGUUUUGUGUAUUUGGUUUUGUCUCUAGAAAUGAUGGAAUGGUAAUUUGUUAUUGUGAUGGGUGACGUGCGGCUCUGGCAGCAAUAGUUAUAGUGGUAUUGGUGCCUAGUAGGCAGUUCGUCCAUUCCAGCAGGAACGAAUCAAAUAUAAAAUUAUGAAUUUAUUACCACUUGAGCACAAUUAUGUUAAAUCAUGAACUCAACUCAUUUUCAGCCCACCUUGAUUUACUAAAAAUUUGAACUUGUCUCAGCCUUUAAGCCAAACUUUGCCCAACAUCAGGCUUGAUGAAGAGAAUGCUCAGUGGUUUCUCUUAUAUAGGGAGAUAGGGAGACUUCCUUCUGGAGUCAUCCCAACACAAAAGUGUGGCAAUAUCACAUAUAUGUAUUAAUGUAUGUGCGCAAACAUUGACAUGCACAAAAUGCAUGCAUGCAUGUAUACAGAGACAGACUAUCUGGACUUCAAACUAAUUUUAAGAUCAAUCUUCUCUCAUUCCCAAACCUGCUUUUGCAUUGUGCAUUCUAUGCUGGUAUUUCAAUAACAUUUUUGUCUUCUUUUGCCAGAAUAUGAAUGCAGCUAUGUUAUUUGCGUCAACAUUUAGUUGCUCAUAAUGUGAUAUUUUCUGUUCUUUCUAGUGGUGAAAUAAAAAUUGGAAAAUUAUUCUUUUUAACAGUUUUUUUGGGCCAAAAAGCCUAAGAAAUAGGUCAGAUACACUAACAGAUGUUUGUCAAGGCAUGCAUGUAUAUAUUAAAAUCGUCUUUUAUAUCAUGUUUUUUUUAUCUUGUUUGGUUUAUCCGGAACUUUAUUGUAUGGUUGAUAGAAUACAUAAUCAGGACUCUAAUUAUUUGCUCACAAAUGUUGACUGUUAAAUAUUAGACAUUAGAAUUUUUUUGUGAUACAUGAAUUCACAAUAUGAAGUCUCAGAAAUGUCUAGUUCCAGAGUCACUGUAUCAUAUAUCUUUUCCACCUUUUCACAACUGAAUUGGCUGAAAUAUGAAGGAUAUCUUAGUUUAUAUAUUUUGAUGUCAUGGUCCUAUAAUCUCUCUACUUAAAAGGCUGUUGUCAUUAUUGUCACUGAUGAAUUUUCUGAAUUCAUCGAUUUAUCUGGACUUUGAAGUUACAAUGAUCCUAUUUUUUUUUUUUAUCAAGUCAAUUUUAUUUAUGUCUGUAAACGAGUAAGAAUGUCUACUUUCUAAGUAGUUAUGUUAUUUGAUUUAGGAUCACUAAUUUCGUUUUCUGGCGAUGUUAUAAAUCAAUUUUGCUUCUGUAGGUAUACAUAUGGCACAGAGGGUCA